AAACGUUGGAUGACCCUCCCCUCAACAAAGAAUAAAAAGACAUGACCCUUCCCUAUUUUCCUCUGGUUGUCCAUUCUAUAAAUACCAAACGGUCACUGACCAAAGGCAUUGUGUGUAU